rnacentral:rRNA from 1 species
GAUGAACGCUGGCGGCGUGCCUAAUACAUGCAAGUCGAGCGGUAACAUGGACUUCGGUCUGAUGACGAGCGGCGGACGGCAGAGUAACGCGUAGGAACAUACCCCAAACUGAGGGAUAACUGCCCGAAAGGGUGGCUAAUACCGCAUGUGAUCUUCGGAUUAAAGCUUCGGCGGUUUGGGAGUGGCCUGCGUUGGAUUAGCUUGUUGGUGAGGUAAUGGCUCACCUAGGCGACGAUCCCUAGCUGGUCUGAGAGGAUGACCAGCCACACUGGAACUGAGACACGGUCCAGACUCCUACGGGAGGCAGCAGUGGGGAAUAUUGCACAAUGGGCGCAAGCCUGAUGCAGCCAUGCCGCGUGUAUGAAGAAGGCCUUCGGGUUGUAAAGUACUUUCAGCGGGGAGGAAGGUGUUGUGGUUAAUAACCGCAGCAAUUGACGUUACCCGCAGAAGAAGCACCGGCUAACUCCGUGCCAGCAGCCGCGGUAA